rnacentral:rRNA from 1 species
GAUGAACGCUAGCGACAGGCCUAACACAUGCAAGUCGAGGGGCAGCAUGAAAUUAGCUUGCUAAUUUUGAUGGCGACCGGCGCACGGGUGAGUAACACGUAUGCAACCUGCCUGUAAGCGGGGGAUAACCCGGAGAAAUUCGGACUAAUACCGCAUAAUAUCAUCGAAUCGCACAUUUUGAUGAUUAAAAAUUUAUUGCUUAAAGAUGGGCAUGCGUAUGAUUGGCUAGUUGGCGGGGUAACGGCCCACCAAGGCGACGAUCAUUAGGGUUUCUAGGAGGAAGGUCCCCCACAUUGGAACUGAGACACGGUCCAAACUCCUACGGGAGGCAGCAGUGAGGAAUAUUGGUCAAUGGACGGAAGUCUGAACCAGCCAUGUCGCGUGAAGGAUGACUGUCCUAUGGAUUGUAAACUUCUUUUAUAUGGGGAUAAAGUGUGAGACUUGUCUCAUUUUGCAUGUACCAUAUGAAUAAGCAUCGGCUAACUCCGUGCCAGCCGCCGCAGUAACAC